UACGUAGGGGGCUAGCGUUGUCCGGAAUCAUUGGGCGUAAAGCGCGUGUAGGCGGCCCGGUAAGUCCGCUGUGAAAGUCGGGGGCUCAACCCUCGAAUGCCGGUGGAUACUGUCGGGCUCGAGUGCGGAAGAGGCGAGUGGAAUUCCUGGUGUAGCGGUGAAAUGCGCAGAUAUCAGGAGGAACACCUAUGGCGAAGGCAGCUCGCUGGGACGUUACUGACGCUGAGACGCGAAAGCGUGGGGAGCAAACAGG
rnacentral:rRNA from 1 species